GCCCACGGAAGAAUUCCGUGAAAUAAACACGGCCCCUUAAGUUAAGGAAAAGAUCAUGGGUGGGCUUACAGUUCCGUGACAUGCGGGAAGAACGGGACGGAAAA